rnacentral:rRNA from 1 species
UGGGGAAUAUUGCGCAAUGGGCGAAAGCCUGACGCAGCGACGCCGCGUGCGGGACGAAGGCCUUCGGGUUGUAAACCGCUGUCGGGAGGGACGAAUGCCCCGCAAGGGGAGUGACGGUACCUCCAAAGGAAGCACCGGCUAACUCUGUG